CAGAAAACUAUGAUGAUGUCAUCAUUGUACGACAAUUCUCCAAUGAUAAAGCAGAUGGUGUUAAGGAGGAUUAUGAUGAUGUGAAGAAUGUCAAGGAGUAUAUGAGUGAUGUGAUUGGUACAUUACUGACACCUUUUUACCUUACACUGAAUUUUUGUUAAGUUUUUAUAAAUGCUUUAUACCAAUAACAUCAGUUUCUGUGAUCAUGAUAACUCAUUUAACUUGACUUCCAAUAUUGAUGUUCAUUUAGAAUACUUUUUAAAGCAUAUAUUGAUAAAUUAAUUUGCUCUUGUUUUCUAAUAACAGGCUAUGAUGAUGUGGGGGAGGAGCCAGAAAAACAGGGAGGGACUGUGUAAAAUCCUUUUAAAGCUUUUAAGUGAUCUGAAACAUUUCUAUGAUGUAGAUUUGGCAAUUUAAGGGGAAAAAAAUCCUAACAUUUAAUCAGUGAACCCAGAUAUUCAGUGGCCUGAGAUCUGCUCCUAAUUGGUUAGAUCAUCUUAAAUGUCAAAAACAUGAAAAAAACUUUGUGGCAGUGUCCAUCUUUAUCCUGGGGACAGAACAACCAUAAUGAUAAUGAGGAGGCCAAUAUCACUUGCUUUGACAAAAUGGAUAAAGAGGCUCCAGAGGAGUAUGAUGUCAUCACUGAUAUACACGAUUUAUCGCACAAAUGAGACCUAUGAUGACGCCACAACCAUGAGAGAAGAGAACUGGGAAGAGGAGCCAAAUGAACAGGGAGAGAGUGUGUGAACUGCCUACAAUUACAGCUAUUAAUAUAUAUAUAAAAAGAAAUACAGAUUAAUAUUGUCUAAACCUUUUCAUUCAACCAGGAGAAAUGCAGAGGAAUCUUUGUCUCCUUGUUCUGAUUUCAUGUCUCAUUACUUUAAUAGAGAAAGUUUAACAAAUAUUAUUUUAGUAAUUGUCGUAUUUCGAGCACCUUCCAUUGGCGAGGGGUUCGGUUCAUUCCCCCCAGAAGCCGCUUCCACUGGUGCUGAAUUGUACCGGUCGCUGUCCAUGGUGCUGGAGGAGUGUCCGCUCUGCAGUUGUCAUGGAAACAAGUGAUCAGACGAACCAAAAAAAAAAUGUAAUCAUAACGAUGGGCUAUUGCUUAAACCUUAAAGAAGUAUAUUAAAUAUUAUUUUAACGCAAAUAUGAAAAUAUGAAAUGUAAGAGCUUUAACUCUGUAUUAAGAUUCUACUGUGUAAUUAAUACCUCUGAUCAUGUUCUGUCAUUUGUAAUUAAUUUCAGUGAAGUAAAUGGUAAAGUGUGCUAAUUACAGUAUAUACACAUCAGCACAUGUGUCUUGAGGUCUAUGCAUAAUUUCCUAAGGAAAGUGCGACCCCCUUCAAUAAAAACCAAAAAAAUAAAUAAAUAAAAAUAAACAGAGUGCCCAUCAUCAUCAUCUUUUAUCUUCUGGAAAUAUAGUACAACGAUAUUGCAGUGCUUAAUGUAUUCCUCCAGUUGUAAUAUUUAAAAUGUAAUGAUAAUUGAUUAAAAAAACUUUU